rnacentral:rRNA from 1 species
CGUGGGUAACCUGCCCAAGAGAUCGGGAUAACACCUGGAAACAGAUGCUAAUACCGGAUAACAACAGAUGAUGCCUAUCAACUGUUUAAAAGAUGGUUCUGCUAUCACUCUUGGAUGGACCUGCGGUGCAUUAGCUAGUUGGUAGGGUAACGGCCUACCAAGGCGAUGAUGCAUAGCCGAGUUGAGAGACUGAUGGCCACAUUGGGACUGAGGCACGGCCCAAACUCCUACGGGAGGCAGCAGGG